rnacentral:misc_RNA from 1 species
GCUUUGACACUGACAGCAGUGCUCUACGAGUCAACCAACCAAUUGCAAUAGCUAUGUAAUCUUGUGAAUAAUAUUGAAAAAUGUGAUGUCUUCUCGGGAAACAAGUGUUGCUUUUUUUAUAUUAGCUGCCAAGUACACAGUAUGGGGUUACUUUGCGUGGCGAAUUAUUAACAAUUCGUUAAACCAUUUUCCUAAAAGGUCGACCUCCCCCGAUACCAAUGAAUAGAUGUUGCUGCUGUCAAGGAGAAAAUGGGCAGUGUAAAUUUGUGAAAAGUUAAAAACUCUGAAAAAGGAUUUGGAAUAACGUGUCGUCUUAUCACAGAGAGUUGAUUUUCGUAACGUUAUGAUCUUGCUGAGAGUUCCUCAGUUUGUGAGUUAAUUGCCGAAUAACACUAUUGAGUUGAACAAAUAAUAAAUGGGCAGUUUCAUUAAAAUACAUUGCAAGAAGUUUGACAUUUGGAAACUCUCUUGCAUGCAAAGUGGUUUGAAUAACUAUUUAAAUCAAUGAAUACAAUAUUGCACUUGAUUCCAAUAAAUUCAAUGCUCCCUUUAUGAGUUAAUCUGCUCUUAAGUAGGAAACCAAAAUUUUUACGUGAUAUUUGUUAUGUGAAUUUUAUUGAGGUUAUAUUUAUAUUUAGGACCUUGGCAACAAUCUACGCAGUAUGUGCGAGUUUCUUUGUUCGGAGCCUCUUGGAUAUACCUAUGUAAUGAUAAAGUGAGAUGCUAAAUAAGUAAUGUAGCAGAAUCUCACAAAAAUUAAAACUAUGUAUGGAAACGUAGAAUUAGAAACGGUGUCUGAAGUACACUUUCGCCGAUUGCUCGGCACAACGAUAGACCCAAACAUCAGUUUGGCUAUGGACGAAGAAGAUCACUUUUGCAAAUUGAUUUUGUACAAAGAAAUUGCUGAUUCUAGGGUAAGGAUAUGGGACAUUGUGAUACUCGUCCCAAAUUUGUUGUUUCUUAUAUUCAUCGCCGCAAGGUUUAACAGAGCAAGACUCAAGUUACGUGCAACCAGCAGUCCAAUAUUGUUAGCAUUCUAUGGUCUUGUUGUAAGUAAUGUCUUAAUCUCACUAAUACGCUGUGUUGUAUCCAUGACUGUAAAUGCAGCAGCAACUGUCGGGGGCUUAGCUGAUAAGAUUUUAUGGGUUACGGUCAGAUUCUUCUUACUCUCUACUGAAAUGAGUGUGAUCAUAUUUGGCCUGUUUUUUGGGCACUUGGACAGUCAAUCAAGUAUUCGUAGAGUCUUAUUGGCUACAUCAUUCAUAGCAUUAGCAUUCACAAUAACGCAAGGAACUCUGGAGUUGGCUUUACCUGACGAUACGUUUGAAAUACCCAGUCGAAAUUUCUAUCUCUUUGGUCAUGGGGGGAUGAUGUUUUGGUUCUGCAGCAGUCUCGUUUUUACCACGAUAUAUCUCUUCAUAUUAAUACUGCCAUGGACGAGAUUAAGAGCAAGACUCGCUUUGCCAACUCGAAAAAGUUUUUACAUAUACGCUGGAACUUUAGCCUUUGUCGAUUUAACACAAUCGAUAGGAGCCGGUCUACUUAACUAUACUCGCAAUCCUGCUGGGUUAUGCAUAGUGGAUCUCACAGCUGUCUUGUACUUGACUCUAUUUACACCGCUAGUUUAUCACACAUUCCUAUCGGAGUUCUUUGGUGUAUCCCAGCCAUCCAUAAUGUUUUCUUACAAGGCUCAAGUGGACGAUGCUAUGGACGAAGACACAGUGUCCCUGCCUCACCAGCAGAGUUUUUCAUCACUGAGAACUGAUAGUGAUUACAUAUAUCAGAAUACGCACCAUACCUCAUCGCAUCCCAGAUAGAUUAGUAGCAACACGAACACGUACUGUAGUCGAUUGCAUAAUCCCAAUUCCAACUAACAACAGCGUUUAUGAUUCCACCCAAUUUGACACUGGUACAACCCCGGUGAACCCAUUGUAUGCAGCAUCUCUACAGAGUCCAGACAG